rnacentral:rRNA from 1 species
UGCUACAAUGGCGUAAACAAAGGGAAGCAGCCCUGUGAAGGUGAGCAAACCCCAAAAAUAACGUCCCAGUUCGGAUUGUAGUCUGCAACCCGACUACAUGAAGCUGGAAUCGCUAGUAAUCGCGAAUCAGCAUGUCGCGGUGAAUACGUUCCCGGGCCUUGUACACACCGCCCGUCAAGCCAUGGGAGCCGGGGGCGCCUGAAGUCCGGGACCGCGAGGACCGGCCUAGGGCGAAACUGGUAACUGGGGCUAAGUCGUAACAAGGUACC